UACGGAGGGUGCAAGCAUUGAUCGGAAUUACUGGGCGUAAAGGGCGCGUAGGCGGUUGAAGAAGUCAGAUGUGAAAUUCCGGGGCUCAACCCCGGAGCGGCAUUUGAAACUUUUCAACUAGAGUUCAGUUAGGGAAAACGGAAUUCCACGUGUAGCGGUGAAAUGCGUAGAUAUGUGGAAGAACACCGGUGGUGAAGACGGUUUUCUGGGCUGAUACAGACGCUGAGGCGCGAAAGCUAGGGGAG
rnacentral:rRNA from 1 species